rnacentral:lncRNA from 1 species
UAUUCCCUCUCAGUCUUUGUUUUGCUAGGCUGAACAAGGAAAGCUGUUUUAGUUGUCUUUAAUAAUAUAGGCUUCCCAUUCCCUAGAUCAUCACCCUAGUCAUCAUUGUCCAUACCUGCUGCAGGACACAAUGGGAUCUAAUGAGUGGUUCCACAAUCAAGCCUCCUUCUGCUAUGCACAUGUGGCAUGGCAGAAGGCCCAAUUGUGUGGAUCAUGCAUUUGAUCCCAUUGCACCUUUAUCUGAACAUGUAGAGGGGCCCUGAAAUACAGAAGCUCUCUUUGUACUCUAUUUGAGGUAGGAGUAAGGAAUACAUAUUGUCUACUGCCUAAACAGGAGGUGUGAGAGCUGAAGAAAGUUGGUGUCGUCACUGCCAUUGCCAGUAAUGCCAUACUUCCUAAGGAUAUGUGGAAGAAAGUGCUGAAUCUAAACCAUCAUGCCAGGACUAGCUACUGUUACACUUUGUCAAGAUUGGGUGCAGAGUGUAGAAAGGCACAGGACCCACUUCUGGAUAAUAUCAGCAGCAAGCAUGCAUCUGAAGAUUGAGACACAUCUCUACUACCUGCGAGCAUCCUUUUCUUUACUUAUUCUUCUUCUAUUUUAUAAAACUGUUCUAAGGGGAGAUGGAGGGGUUAUAGCUAGUUCAGAACAAACCUCAGAGUUUGUUUUCAGUUAAGUUAAAAAUGUAAGGGCUGGAUCCUCAGCUGAUAUAAAUCAGAGCUGCUCCAUUGAUUUCAGGGUUCAAGGUUUUAAGGUAAGAGGCUUCAGGAUUUGUUUGUGUGGUCCUGGGCCAGAAAAACCUUGAGCACAUACUGUCUUAUAAUAUCAAAUUUUGUAUUAUAUAGAGAUGCCUUGUGGUGGACUGGCACUAGAACACUUAUCCAGCAAAACAGUGAUCAAAUAACACAACCGUGCUUUUAAGUGUUGCUUUCAGUGAGUCUUUUAAUUGAAUUCUGUUUUAACUAAGGAGACUGUUUAGGUGAAUAAAAGCUACAUUCAGAAAUGUUUGUAGAAUCA